UCAUCAUUUGCUCUACCAAUAAUAAUAAUAAUAAUAAUUUUUAUCAAAAAAAUAAAAAAUAAAAAUACCAGCUCUCUAACUUGUUGUCUGUUAUUGUUACUAUUACAUUACUCGAUCUCACCACAUCACUAUGUUCGCUUAGAGUUUAGAUCCGAUACACCUUCUAUAGUGCAGAGUUUUGUACCGCCUUGGAUACCAACCACGAUCACACUUGGUGCUAUCUACGGUCUCCAACCUAGAUGAUGUGGCAAUUAUCUAGAACCGUACAAUACUGUGCGGGGACGAAAGGUGGACCGUAGUCCUUCACCAUACGCAACUGUAUCACGGCGGACGAGAAACCCAAUUAAAGCGUUGCGAUCUGAUGGCCCCGUCUCCCGCGCCCUCCCGCUUCCCGUUCCAACUCGAACUUUCCCUCCUCCAUCCCCUUUUCCAACUCGAACUUCCCCUCUCCUCUCCCUAUAUAUUGCAAAGCGAGACAGAAAGCCUUCACAGAGAGAGCGUGCGAUCUCUUCUCGUCUUUGUUCAGCCUCAGCUGUAAACCCCGGAGAGAAAGAGACCGUGAGUUCCACUCGUCUUUGCAAAGUAGUAGUAUUAUUAGCUUGAUUCAUAGUUCGUUUCCAAGAACCCGAAUUUGGAUCGCUACUCCUUUGCUUUUAUACUUUGUCCAUAACUUCCGGCUCCUUAGUUUCCUAACAACAGUGGGUCGUUUCAGAUUCUCGGUCGGUACGGUGU
rnacentral:lncRNA from 1 species